rnacentral:rRNA from 1 species
AGACAAGGUCCCAGGCCCUAAGGGGCGCAGCAGUUGCGAAAACUCCGCAAUGCACGAAAGUGUGACGGGGCUACCCCGAGUGCCGUCCGCUGAGGAUGGCUUUUCCACGCCGUAAGGAAGCGUGGGAGUAAGGAGAGGGCAAGUCUGGUGUCAGCCGCCGCGGUAAUACCAGCUCUCCGAGUGGUAGGGAUGAUUAUUGGGCUUAAAGCGUCCGUAGCCGGCCUAACAAGUCUCUCGUCAAAUCCAACGAUUCAAUCGCUGGACCGCGGGAGAUACUGUCAGGCUAGGAGGCGGGAGAGGCCGACGGUACUCUUGGGGUAAGGGUGAAAUCUUAUAAUCCCAGGAGGACCACCAGUGGCGAAGGCUGUCGGCUAGCACACGCUCGACGGUGAGGGACGAAAGCUUGGGGAGCGAACCGGAUUAGAUACCCGGGUAGUCCAAGCUGUAAACGAUGCGGGCUAGGUGUUGGGGUGGCUACGUGCCACUUCAGUGCCGCAGGGAAGCCGUUAAGUCUGCCGCCUGGGGAGUACGGUCGCAAGACUGAAACUUAAAGGAAUUGGCGGGGGA